rnacentral:rRNA from 1 species
UACGAAGGGGGCUAGCGUUGUUCGGAUUUACUGGGCGUAAAGCGCACGUAGGCGGUCGUUAAGUCGGGGGUGAAAUCCUGGAGCUCAACUCCAGAACUGCCUUCGAUACUGGCGACUAUGAGUCCGGAAGAGGUGAGUGGAACUCCUAGUGUAGAGGUGGAAUUCGUAGAUAUUAGGAAGAACACCAGUGGCGAAGGCGGCUCACUGGUCCGGGUACUGACGCUGAGGUGCGAAAGCGUGGGGGAGCAAACAGG